rnacentral:lncRNA from 1 species
CUGGAAGGAGACCUCGAGAACCUUUGCAGACAGGUAAGACACGGAGACCUUUGGGUUGAUGGCAAGAUUUGGAGGGCUGAUUAUGGCGCCUUUGAUGUGAGGAGGUAUUCCUGCAAUCCUUCCGAGACACCUAAGCUGCUGUAAGUAAUGACUUUUGUUGCUCAUGUAUCUGAUGCUUCUGCCACUGUGUUGUCUCUGAAAAAU